ensembl:snRNA U6 U6 spliceosomal RNA
UUGCUUUGGCAGCACAUAUACUAAACCUGAAAUAAUACAGAACAGUUUAGCAUGGCCCCUGCAAAAGAAUGACAUACAAAUUCAUCUUUAAAGGCCAUCUAGU